rnacentral:rRNA from 1 species
CCUACGGGUGGCAGCAGUGAGGAAUAUUGGUCAAUGGGCUUACGCCUGAACCAGCCAAGUCGCGUGAGGGAAGACUGCCCUAUGGGUUGUAAACCUCUUUUGUCAGGGAGCAAUUGGCGCUACGUGUAGCGUUAUCGAGAGUACCUGAAGAAAAAGCAUCGGCUAACUCCGUGCCAGCAGCCGCGGUAAUACGGAGGAUGCGAGCGUUAUCCGGAUUUAUUGGGUGUAAAGGGAGCGUAGGCGGUGAUGCAAGUCAGAAGUGAAAGCCCGCAGCUCAACUGCGGGACUGCUUUUGAAACUGUAUGACUAGAUUGCAGGAGAGGUAAGUGGAAUUCCUAGUGUAGCGGUGAAAUGCGUAGAUAUUAGGAGGAACACCAGUGGCGAAGGCGGCUUACUGGACUGUAAAGGACGCUGAGGCUCGAAAGCGUGGGGAGCAAACAGGAUUAGAUACCCCAGUAGUC